rnacentral:rRNA from 1 species
UACGUAGGGACCAAGCGUUGUUCGGAUUUACUGGGCGUAAAGGGCGCGUAGGCGGCGCGGUAAGUCACUUGUGAAAUCUCCGGGCUUAACCCGGAGCGGCCAAGUGAUACUGUCGGACUAGAGUACAGAAGGGGCAACUGGAAUUCUCGGUGUAGCGGUGAAAUGCGUAGAUAUCGAGAGGAACACCUGCGGCGAAGGCGGGUUGCUGGGCUGAUACUGACGCUGAGGCGCGAAAGCCAGGGGAGCGAACGGG